AAAAAAAUUAUUAUUAUUAUGUAGUCUUUAUUCUUCUAUAAUUUCUUAGUUUAUUUUCUAAUCAGAAAAUAAAUUGUUGCUUUGUUGAGUGAAUGUGCAACGGGAGGUGCAAUAUAAGUAAAAGAUAACUCUUUUUUCUUUCAUUUUCUGUCAUUUUUAUCAUGUUUUUCUUCCUUUUAUAUGUUGCAAAUGACAUAAAUACAUGACAUUAUCUCUUUUGUGAUCCUUUCUCUCCACCAUGAGUAGGUCAGGGCAACCACAGGAUUUUAAGACCUUAGUGUUCCUCUCAUUUUUCACUUGAAUUUAAUUUUUUUUCAAAUUUUUCAUGCUCUGUUACACUCGCUGCAUAUUGAUCUGCAAUUGUCUUUUAUGUUUUGGGGAUUCGGCGCGUACAUGGACAAGAAACUUCAGAGUUGCAACAAUUCCUAAAGAGAGAAAGAAACAAGAAAGAGAGAUUGGAGAAAAAGAUAACACGCUCUACUAAAAAAAUUCGAAACUCUUCAGUUUCAAUUUUGAAUUUGAGAAGGUGGGUGUGCAUGGAUUAAAUUAGCAGAACUAGAUUUCAUUUCCAACACUACCAGAUGAUGUUGUCGAGGAUGGAGGCUGGGAAGAAGGAUGGUGAAGUGAAUGGCAAUGAGAAAAAGGCCAUAGGGAUGGUGUUACCCGACUGAUCUUUCCAGGAGAGCAAGAAUUCACUCAGCGUUACAUUGGCAUCACCAAAAUUUGCGUCCUAGAGCAGCUGCAUCAUAGCUCUAAAAGAACCCUUUUGUAAUUGCAUUGUUGUCUAGAAAGUGAAACUACUAUAAAAUUAACGUUGUUUCAUGAGUUCUUAUCAUGUUGGCCUAAUGUUGCUAAUCUCACUGUAAAGAAAUCAGGGAUUAAUGCA